AUGAACGCUGGCGGCGUGUCUAAGGCAUGCAAGUCAAACGGUCUACUUUCUGUAGCAAUACAGAGAGCAAGACAGUGGCAAACGGGAGAGCAACACCCUGGUAACCUACCUCAAAGUUCGGAAUAACUUCGCGAAAGCGAGGCUAAUACUGGAUGUAGUUAUCCGACGUAAGUUGGAUAAAAAAAGCCCUAAAGGCGCUUUGAGAAGGACCUAGGUUCCAUCAGCUAGUUGGUAGGGUAAUGGCCUACCAAGGCUACGACGGAUAGGGGACGUGAGAGCGUGACCCCCCUCACUGGGACUGAGACACUGCCCAGACUCCUACGGGAGGCUGCAGUCAAGAAUAUUCCUCAAUGGACGAAAGUCUGAAGGAGCGACGCCGCGUGUAGGAAGAAGCCCUUCGGGGUGUAAACUACUUUUCUAUGGGAAGAAUUUCGACGGUACCAUAGGAAUCAGGGGUUGCUAACUCUGU
rnacentral:rRNA from 1 species